AGAGUUGAUCUGGCUCAGGAUGAACGCUAGCUACAGGCUUAACACAUGCAAGUCGAGGGGCAGCAUAUCGAAAGCUUGCUUUGAUGAUGGCGACCGGCGCACGGGUGAGUAACGCGUAUCCAACCUUCCCUAUACUAGAGGAUAGCCCGGCGAAAGUCGGAUUAAUACUCUAUGUUCUUCGUAGAAGACAUCUGAAAUGAAGCAAAGGUUUACCGGUAUAGGAUGGGGGAUGCGUCUGAUUAGGCUGUUGGCGGGGUAACGGCCCACCAAGCCCACGAUCAGUAGGGGUUCUGAGAGGAAGGUCCCCCACAUUGGAACUGAGACACGGUCCAAACUCCUACGGGAGGCAGCAGUGAGGAAUAUUGGUCAAUGGACGAGAGUCUGAACCAGCCAAGUAGCGUGCAGGAUGACGGCCCUAUGGGUUGUAAACUGCUUUUAUACAGGGAUAAAGUGCACUACGUGUAGUGUUUUGUAGGUACUGUAUGAAUAAGGACCGGCUAAUUCCGUGCCAGCCGCGGC
rnacentral:rRNA from 1 species